rnacentral:rRNA from 1 species
GAGUUUGAUCGUGGCUCAGAUUGAACGCUGGCGGCAGGCCUAACACAUGCAAGUCGGGCGAUUUUGGCUUCGGUCAGAAGAGCGGCGAACGGGUGAGUAACACGUAGGAAUCUGCCUGGUAGUGGGGGACAACGUUCCGAAAGGAACGCUAAUACCGCAUACGCCCUACGGGGGAAAGCUGGGGAUCUUCGGACCUAGCGCUAUCAGAUGAGCCUGCGUCGGAUUAGCUAGUUGGCGGGGUAAAGGCCCACCAAGGCGACGAUCCGUAACUGGUCUGAGAGGAUGAUCAGUCACACCGGAACUGAGACACGGUCCGGACUCCUACGGGAGGCAGCAGUGGGGAAUAUUGGACAAUGGGGGCAACCCUGAUCCAGCCAUGCCGCGUGUGUGAAGAAGGCCUCGGUUGUAAG